rnacentral:rRNA from 1 species
UCCAGCUCCAAUAGCGUAUACUAAAGUUGUUGCCGUUAAAAAGCUCGUAGUCGAACUUCGGCCUUUGCCGCCCGGUCCGCCUUUUUGGGUGUGUACUGGAGCGGUGGAGGCUUACCUCGUGGUGAGCGGCGAUGCCAUUUAUUUGGUGUCGUCGGGAACCAUGAUUUUUACUUUGAAAAAAUUAGAGUGUUCAAAGCAGGCUUACGCCCGAAUACAUUAGCAUGGAAUAAUAAAAUAGGACGUGCGGUCCUAUUUUGUUGGUUUCUAGGAUCGCCGUAAUGAUUAAUAGGGAUAGUUGGGGGCAUUCGUAUUCAAUU